rnacentral:rRNA from 1 species
AUUGAACGCUGGCGGCAGGCCUAACACAUGCAAGUCGAGCGAGCGGCGGACGGGGGAGAAAAGUCUGGGAAACUGCCUGAUGGAGAGGGGUACCUACUGGAAACGGUAACUAAUACCCCAUACCAUCAGAUGUGCCCAGAUGGGAUAAGCUCGGAGGUGGGGUAACGGCGCACCUAGGCGACACUCCCUAGCUGGUCUGAGAGGAUAACCAACCACACUGGAACUGAGACACGGUCCAGACUCCUACGGGAGGCAGCAGUGGGGAAUAUUGCACAAUGGGCGCAAGCCUGAUGCAGCCAUGCCGCGUGUGUGAAGAAGGCCUUCGGGUUGUAAAGGACUUUUGUCAGGGAAGCGGUACCUGAAGAAUAAGCACCGGCUAACUACGUGCCAGCCGCCGCGGUAAUUC